rnacentral:rRNA from 1 species
GACGAACGCUGGCGGCGUGCUUAACACAUGCAAGUCGAACGAGAACGGAAUAUAGCUUGCUAUAUUUGUCAGCUAAGUGGCGCACGGGUGAGUAAUGUAUAGAUAACCUGCCCUUAAGAAAGGAAUAACAGUUGGAAACGACUGCUAAUGCCCUAUAUGCCUUUAAUACAUAAGUAUGCAAGGGAAACGCUUUAGUGCUUAAGGAUGGGUCUGUAUGGUAUCAGCUUGUUGGUGAGGUAAUGGCUCACCAAGGCUAUGACGCCUAACUGGUUUGAGAGGAUGGUCAGUCACACUGGAACUGAGACACGGUCCAGACUCCUACGGGAGGCAGCAGUGGGGAAUAUUGCACAAUGGACGAAAGUCUGAUGCAGCAACGCCGCGUGGAGGAUGACACAUUUCGGUGCGUAAACUCCUUUUAUAUAGGAAGGUAAUGACGGUACUAUAUGAAUAAGCACCGGCUAACUCCGUGCCAGCAGCCGCGGUAA